GGGAAAGUGGCUGAGUGGUUAAAAGCGGCAGACUGUAAAUCUGUUUGAUGUCCUAUCUACGUAGGUUCGAAUCCUACCUUUCCCA
rnacentral:tRNA from 1 species